CAUUCUCAUGACAAACGAACUAUAGAUUCAUGCUCGGGAUGAUGUUGGGAAGUUAUUGAAUACAUUAUUUAUGUAAAACAAACAUCAAUUUUCAUUUGACCCUUUUUGUUCAUGGAGGUUCAAGAACACUUUAAGCUUUUGAUUUUGAAAUCAAUUGAGUUUCCAUACAAAAUGGUGAUUAUUAAGGUAGUAAAUAAAUAAAAUAAGAGUAAAAAUACAAUAUAAUUAAAUAAAGAACAAACAUAAGAGUUAUUUAAAAAACAAUAAAUCACUUUUGCUUAUGGAGGUUCAUG
rnacentral:lncRNA from 1 species